CAUCAGGAAGCUAUGCCAGCAUUAACCUUUUAAGUUAAAGACCGAGAGCACAACACUCUCCUUGAUGA
rnacentral:tRNA from 1 species